CAAACGACUCUCGGUAACGGAUAUCUCGGCUCUCGCAUCGAUGAAGAACGUAGCGAAAUGCGAUAGUUGGUGUGAAUUGCAGAAUCCCGUGAACCAUCGAGUCUUUUAACGCAAGUUGCGCCCGAAGCCAUUAGGCCGAGGACACGUCUGCCUGGGCGUCACGC
rnacentral:rRNA from 2 species